GAAUCAGAGAUGGGAUUCUGUAGAGGUUUUGCAAGAGCCUCCGUAAUGGAUAGAAGCUUUUUACUCCUCAGAAAUUCUCCAGAUCCAGUGGUCUCAGGAAGGUUCAUCUGUCAGCAAUUGUUGAUUGUGGUGGUUAGCACCAGCCCUUCCCUUUGACAGAUCGUGAUGCUCUUUUCCAGGACUUUCAUUUAUAUGAGACUUCUGGCAGCCUGCUGCUUCCUAGAUAGAAAAGCCAACAAACAGUCUGUUCCUUCUCCUCACCAGAUUCAUAAUGUCAUUCCUUCAGAGACAAGAUCUCAUCUAUUGCUCAAUCUUGGUGCAAGUUUGCUAAUUUUUCACCACCUCAGCACCAAAUCAUUCUAUUUCUGCACGUAUUACUGAGUGAUGUAUAAAGACUCACCAUGCACUUAUCCUAAAAAUAUGGUAGGCAAUAGGUGCGUAUGGAAAAUGGGGCUGAUUUUGCUGCUUAUUUUUGUUCCAUUUCUCCCAAAGAAGAGAACUAUGAAGCUGGCUCAAAUCAAGCUGGGCUUGCUGGAAACCAAAGCCCCACCACUGGCAGACCUUCAGAGAAGUCGAUUCUUGCACAAACAGGAAGGCAGACUCCCUUCCCAUUAAUUGAGGUGGUGCUUCCAGUCCUCGGCCAGAGGACACAGGGGCAGGGAGGUGUUUGCCUCCAGGACCAGGAUUGGAGCUGGUCUGCGAGAAAUACAUUUCCUGGGUGGGCAGAUCUGGCCCUUCUUGGGCAUCAGGUUCAGAGCCAGCUCAGGGAGAAACUCAGCACUGUCAUCUGAGAGUCCUGGGGGGACCUGAUUUCUAUCCCGAGUGCUUCAACCCAUGCCAUACAACCAGGAGUGCUGGACCCCUCCAGAUGCCCUAUGAAUGCAUUUCUCAGAGGCUUCCUGGGAGGAAACUCAAUCACAUUUCAGUUUAAUGAAGUGAUACACAAAGUGAUGAUGUCUGGAACCGACCUUGCUGGAUCUUCUUCCUGCUGUGACUGCUAUAACUCCUACAGCAGCAGCUGAGAUUGCUCAGACAUCUGCAGCUCCAUGUGGAGCCUCACUGCUGGCUUUGGUCUUGUGUUACCCAGCUGAGAUGUGACCCCAUCAGGUCUGGGUGGGGGCUGCCUCGUGCCAUGCUGGGCACAUAGCAGUGUGCCCUCUGGCAGCUCAAAGGGAACCAACAGUGGAAUUACAGCAAAGAAUGCAUGAUGGACCACAAAAGGCUUUGAAAGUUUUUUUCCGUGGAAGGCCAGUCCGAUCCUAUUAUAAUCCACAGUACAUCUGCAAUCCGUAGGACUUGCCGGUAACGUGGAUAUGCAUUAUUCCUUUAAUAAAAGCAAAUGAUGGCAAGGAAUGUGGCUUUUU
rnacentral:lncRNA from 1 species